GAACUGCUAAAAACCCCAUACGUGUCAUGUUGGUAUUGGUCGUCUCUCUCUUCUCCCUCUUCCUCGAUGCUUUUCUUUUCUGUCUGAGAAAUCUCUCGUCUUGCUCUCCAUCGCCAAAUCCGUAGCAGCUAGAGAACCUCGGCGAAAUCAGAUUGGUGGCUAGGAUUGUGCUGGGACUCAGGUCGGAUCUCGAUAUCAGACGACUCGUCGACGAUAUCGAACGAAUCGAUCUGCUGACGAACGAGACCUUUCUCUACGAAGUAGGCUGAUAUAACGGCCCAUGCGUCCUCCUGUGUACAUAAUCUCCUCGUCAUGAUCAAUGUAAGGCUGGUCCUGUUCGUACUCCAUCUUUGAUCUCCUCUCGUUGAAGAUUGAAGAACAGAGCAGAGAGAGAGAGAAAGAGAGAGAGAGAGAAAGCGCGACUUUGUGGAGUUGAUCUCGAUCUCUCAUUCAAUCGGAGAAGAUGAUCUAUAUAUACCUCUUCUCACAACCUUAAUCACAGCCACAGAUAGAGGCUUGGUAUCCCGAAGAAUAGCAUGUAGACCUUACUGCAGCCCCACCUUGAUGUUCUACUAUUUGAGAUCAUUUUCCCUCUAAUGUGCUUCAAUAAUGAUGACCAAGUACUUUGGGAUGAAGACCCGCAUGAUGUGAGGAAGGGUUAUGAUAUGGACUUUGUGACUGAGCUGGUCAGAAAGCGUGGAAAAGACACUUCCCCAAAUUCAUACAGUUCAUCGUGGGCAUAUUUAAUAGAUUUGGUGAAGCACCUCUAGAACAGAAGCCCUAUCGCCAAAAGGAUGGUGCUCUACUUGCUGUUGGGACACUUUGUGAUAAACUUAGGCAAGCUGAACCCUACAAAUCCGAGCUGGAGAAUAUGCUACUGCAACAUGUUUUUCCUGAAUUCAGCAGCCCAGCUGGUCAUCUUAGAGCCAAGGAUUUAGUUACUGCUUUUGGUUGUUCAGACCCCCUUCUCAUUCGUUUCUGUUAAGAAAAUAAUACCUCUAUUCAUUUUUAUUUAUGCAUUUGUUUAGUCCCCCUUCUCAUUCGUUUAUGUUAUGAAAAUCAUUCCUUGUCAAUUGAUUCAUCUUUGUCUCCAAAUGCUUGAAUUUCUGUACUACUACUUUGUGAUCACUGUGACUGAAUCACUAUCCUCUUAUGUUU